UACGGAGGAUCCGAGCGUUAUCCGGAUUUAUUGGGUUUAAAGGGUGCGUAGGCGGCCUGUUAAGUCAGGGGUGAAAGACGGUAGCUCAACUAUCGCAGUGCCCUUGAUACUGAUGGGCUUGAAUGUACUAGAGGUAGGCGGAAUGUGACAAGUAGCGGUGAAAUGCAUAGAUAUGUCACAGAACACCAAAUUGCGAAGGCAGCUUACUAUGGUAUUAUUGACGCUGAGGCACGAAAAGCGUGGGGAUCAAACAGG
rnacentral:rRNA from 1 species